rnacentral:rRNA from 1 species
UCGACGGCAGCACGGGUGCUUGCACCUGGUGGCGAGUGGCGGACGGGUGAGUAAUAUAUCGGAACAUAUCCGGAAGUGGGGGAUAGCUCGGCGAAAGCCGGAUUAAUACCGCAUAUGCCCUGAGGGGGAAAGGAGGGGAUCCGCAAGGACCUUUCGCUUUCGGAGUGGCCGAUACCGGAUUAGCUAGUUGGUGAGGUAAAGGCUCACCAAGGCGACGAUCCGUAGCUGGUCUGAGAGGACGACCAGCCACACUGGAACUGAGACACGGUCCAGACUCCUACGGGAGGCAGCAGUGGGGAAUUUUGGACAAUGGGGGAAACCCUGAUCCAGCCAUACCGCGUGAGUGAAGAAGGCCUUCGGGUUGUAAAGCUCUUUCAGACGGAAAGAAACGGUCACGGCUAAUACCUGUGGCUAAUGACGGUACCGUAAGAAGAAGCACCGGCUAACUACGUGCCAGCAGCCGCGGUAAUACGUAGGGUGCGAGCGUUAAUCGGAAUUACUGGGCGUAAAGCGUGCGCAGGCGGCUUUUUAAGCCAGAUGUGAAAUCCCCGGGCUUAACCUGGGAACUGCAUUUGGAACUGGAAGGCUAGAGUACGGCAGAGGGGGGUAGAAUUCCACGUGUAGCAGUGAAAUGCGUAGAUAUGUGGAGGAAUACCGAUGGCGAAGGCAGCCCCCUGGGUCGAUACUGACGCUCAUGCACGAAAGCGUGGGGAGCAAACAGGAUUAGAUACCCUGGUAGUCCACGCCCUAAACGAUGUCAACUAGGUGUUGGGGAAGGAGACUUCUUUAGUACCGCAGCUAACGCGCUAAGUUGACCGCCUGGGG